AACGAACGCUGGCGGCAUGCCUAACACAUGCAAGUCGAACGAGAUCUUCGGGUCUAGUGGCGCACGGGUGCGUAACGCGUGGGAAUCUGCCCUUUGGUUCGGAAUAACAGUUGGAAACGACUGCUAAUACCGGAUGAUGACGAAAGUCCAAAGAUUUAUCGCCAGAGGAUGAGCCCGCGUAGGAUUAGCUAGUUGGUGUGGUAAAGGCGCACCAAGGCGACGAUCCUUAGCUGGUCUGAGAGGAUGAUCAGCCACACUGGGACUGAGACACGGCCCAGACUCCGACGGGGGGCAGCAGUGGGGAAUAUUGGACAAUGGGCGAAAGCCUGAUCCAGCAAUGCCGCGUGAGUGAUGAAGGCCUUAGGGUUGUAAGCUCUUUUACCCGGGAUGAUAAUGACAGUACCGGGAGAAUAAGCUCCGGCUAACUCCGUGCCAGCAGCCGCCGUAA
rnacentral:rRNA from 1 species